rfam:Ochotona princeps cont2.200690, whole genome shotgun sequence.
AGAUGGUCCCUGAGAGUCCCCAGCGACAGGAUCCCGCAGCACUGCUUCUAUUAUGAUAUCGUAAAUCUUUUUAAAUUCUGGAACUAAUUAUAUAGAGGAUAUGUCUCAAUUUGUUCUGCAUUAAUGCCACAGUGGGGAUGGCGGCCAGGCCGUGGCCAGAGCAGAUACGGAGGCCCAUGAAAUUGAUGAACUGAGAGACUUGCUUCCAGUCCUGAGCGCACCAUCUGGAAUUCCAGUCUGAGGUUACAAUUAGAACUCCUGACCCCAGAUUCAACUUUGCAAACAAC